rnacentral:lncRNA from 1 species
UUUCACCGUGGCAAAGCAUGGGAGGAAGGUAAACAGAGGGCUCUGCAGCUUUAAGAAGUGUGCACACAUGAACAGCUGGCAGUGGGCCAUUAGGCCAACAUAAACACUUCUAAUCCUUUUUCCAAGGAGCUUUCAACACUCAUCUCCCUGGCACAUCGGCCGUUGACUCACUCCCUGACAUUCCUGGCUGUUUGAAGUAGAGGAGAGCAGUCACCAGGCGGCACUGUGGCUCCAACAAUGGCCCCUGGUGCUGUUGAUCAUUAUUCACUGCAAAGGUAUGUGCCUUCGUUUGAUUUUCCCAUGAAGCGAAACAGGUCUCAGUUUUCAUUCUUUCUUAGCAGAACUGCGGGCUGAGCUUCACCAAGUCUUGUUGACUGGAAAACCACAGAAGCAUGUGUGAUGAUUAUGGACAGGAAAUCCUGAUCCCAAGAGCUUUUUCCAGAAGUGGAGUGUAGCUGCAGCUCCAACAACCCGAUCUUCUGGGAGUUGCUCUAAAUACCUCAUAGCCUCCAGGAAGUGGAAGCAGACGGAGCCCAGGUGUACAACAGCUGACUGGCACAGACACAAGCUCCUUUUGUUGAAGAACCUAUUUUUGUCUGUCCUACAGUCAUCAUCACUGUAUAAACUACACUGUCUUCAACUUUUAGCAAGAAGCUAAUAAAUGCGUUCAGUGAAAGCCCGAGGUCACUAAGUAAAAAAAAGUAAAAAUUUUCAUCAAAGUAGUUUUCCAUUAAUCAAAUGGGCUGUAAUUUAUGGCCAAAGUCAAAAACUGACAGCCCCAACAAGCCAAAUGAAGGUAAAUGAAGUUUCUGGCAGAGUGCUGCUGAAAUAAUUUACAAUUAUCUUGUAAAUGAGAUUCAAUCUUUACAUUAUUAAAAAUGUGUAUAAAUAAG